rnacentral:rRNA from 1 species
AUUCAGGAAAAGGAUCUUAGUCCAAUUUUAAUUCUCUUCAUAACACUAAAUAUACCUAUAGAUUUAAAAUUUGCUCAAAUAAGGUACAGCCUAUUUGAGACAGGAUACAACCUACUAUAGAGGGUAAUGCAUAAAUUAACCUGACCAAGUAGGCCUAAAAGCAGCCACCUUUUAAAAAGCGUUAAAGCCUCAUCACAUUAAAUUAUAAAUACCAGUCUAAACUCAAAACCCCUUUACCCUACUGAAUGACUUCAUAUUCAUAUGAAAAUCUUUAUGUUAGAACUAGUAACAAGAAUAAAUAUUCUCCAAUAAAUGUAAGUGUAAGUCGAAAUGGACCACCCAUCGACACUCAUCGCUAAUGAACCCACAGUAAUAACUUCCCCAAGAAAAUUCUACUUUUCCUAACGUUAACCUUACACAAGAACUUUUCUGGAAAGAUUAAAAAAAGAGGAAGGAACUCGGCAAACAUUAACCCCGCC